AAAAGUUUUAGUCUUCUUAAGAUAACCUUCUUAGAUUCUCUAAAGUUAGGCAAAUAAAACAAAUUUUAUGUGGAGCUCUUGACCCUCUAAUUUCACUCCAAAGUAAGCAUAGUGCAUUUUUCUAAUAAAAAGUGUUACGUUCCUUUGAUGUUUCUUAACCACAAAUUCCCCAUAAAUGUAACAAAAGUUAUUUAGACUGUUGACCACCCACUAGCCAUGAUUCAUAACUUAUACAGUAUUCAGAACACAACAAGAGUCUUGAAUUUGAAAAAUUCUAAAAAGAAUAAGAAGGAGGUUAGUCUUUUAAUGACCUUUCAAAACGUUUCAAUUCACUGAUAUGAAACUCAAAAUCAAUUCAAAAUCAUUGAAAAAAAACGCAGUGAACGAUUAUAUCCAUACUUAAAGCUAAAUAACAAAUCAUAACUAACUGAUAUGGCUGACAACUCGGUAUGUAUAAUCUCUUAGAAAUUUCUGAUAAUUUCCAAAAAUUUAGCAUUUUCUUAAAUUUUCAAAAACGUUAAGUCCCUAAGUUUGAUGAUUU
rnacentral:lncRNA from 1 species